rnacentral:lncRNA from 12 species
AAAAAAGUCCAGUAAAUGCACUGAGUUCUCAGGGUGAAAAAUGUCUUCUUUAAUGUGUAAAGCACAGAUACACUACACACACACACACACACACACACACAACCAUAUCUGUAUUAUCAAAUUUCAUGGUUUUGCAGGGGAAGUUAGUAAAGAUAACAUUCAGACAUGCUCCUUAGACGAUAAAAAAAAAGAUUCAGAAACACUGGUUUAUGUAGAGAGGGGCUGAUACCCCUCUCUCACCAAGCAAACAAGGAAAUGAACAAAAAAAUGUAAAGGAUUCUUUAAAGAAAUUGAAUGAACCAUAUAGGGGGAUAUGGGGACAGCCUGUGUGGGUGUUAAUGCCUACAGAUCUUCUCAUCCUGGCAUUUUUGGGUCUAGUGUCUAGUGUGCCUUCCUACUUCAGAGCAGGGAUUCUCCGACAUUUGUGUGCAUAUGUAUUACCUGGAAGGUUGUUUUAACAAGCUCCCUUUAACAACAGAUUCAUGGGAGUGCAGAUAUCUCUUCAAGAUCAUGAUUUGAUUAUUUCAUCUCCUUCAGAUAUAUACCCAGAGUAGGAUUUUUAGGUCAUAUGGUAGUUCUAUUUUUAAUUUUUUUGAGGAAGUGCCACACUUGUUUUCCAUAGUGGCAGUACCAAUUUAUGUUCCUUCCAAGAGUGGACCAAUGUUAUAGAGAUGUUUUUGAUGGUCACAACUAGAAGAUGGUGCUACUGGCAUCCAGGGGUUAGAGGCAAGGGAUGCUGUUAAAUAGCCCACAACACACACAGGACAGUCCCCCUAACAAAGUUAUCCAGCCCUCAAUGUCAGGAGUGCAAAGGUGGAGAAACUCUGAUCUAGAGGGAGAAAAAGAGCAAGUGGGAGGAGGGAAGAGAACAGAUCCUGUUACAGAAGGAAAUAAAAGUUUCUUCUGGACAAAUGCUGACAGCGCGUUUUCGUAUCUGGCAGCUACUUUGUCUUUCGGUGCUUCCUACAGCUAUGUCUGGGUACCCAGCUUUCUGGUGGCAUCUGGGGGCUGCUCCAAGGACAUUCAGCAAUAAUAUAAGAUCUACUCUUUGGCUCAUGCCAAUUCUUUUUCCUAUGCCUCUGAGGCCCUGCUCCUGGUGGUGAAGGAUGCUUGUUGAGCAAAUGCAGGGCAACAGGAGAUUGUCCACUAGAGGCACUCCAAACCCUUCUUCUUAAUAAAAACGUCUAUAGAACAAGUCUCUCUCUCUUU